GUCCCUAUCGUCUAGUGGUUCAGGACAUCUCUUUUAAGGAGGCAGCGGGGAUUCGACUUCCCCUGGGGGUA
rnacentral:tRNA from 1 species